UGGGGAAUUUUGGACAAUGGGCGAAAGCCUGAUCCAGCAAUGCCGCGUGUGUGAAGAAGGCCUUCGGGUUGUAAAGCACUUUUGUCCGGAAAGAAAAUCCUUGGCUCUAAUACAGUCGGGGGAUGACGGUACCGGAAGAAUAAGCACCGGCUAACUACGUGCCAGCAGCCGCGGUAAUACGUAGGGUGCAAGCGUUAAUCGGAAUUACUGGGCGUAAAGCGUGCGCAGGCGGUUUGCUAAGACCGAUGUGAAAUCCCCGGGCUCAACCUGGGAACUGCAUUGGUGACUGGCAGGCUAGAGUAUGGCAGAGGGGGGUAGAAUUCCACGUGUAGCAGUGAAAUGCGUAGAGAUGUGGAGGAAUACCGAUGGCGAAGGCAGCCCCCUGGGCCAAUACUGACGCUCAUGCACGAAAGCGUGGGGAGCAAACAGGAUUAGAUACCCUGGUAGUCCACGCCCUAAAACGAUGUCAACUAGUUGUUGGGGAUUCAUUUCCUUAGUAACGUAGCUAACGCGUGAAGUUGACCGCCUGGGGAGUACGGUCGCAAGAUUAAAACUCAAAUGAAUUGACGGGGUCAUAGCUGUUUCCU
rnacentral:rRNA from 1 species